GAUAAACGCUGGCGGCGUGCUUAACACAUGCAAGUCGAACGAAGUUUUUCCUUCGGGAGAAACUUAGUGGCGGACGGGUGAGUAACGCGUGGGUAACCUGCCCUGUACAGGGGGACAACAGCUGGAAACGGCUGCUAAUACCGCAUAAGCCCUUAGCACUGCAUGGUGCAUAGGGAAAAGGAGCAAUCCGGUACAGGAUGGACCCGCGUCUGAUUAGCCAGUUGGCAGGGUAACGGCCUACCAAAGCGACGAUCAGUAGCCGAUCUGAGAGGAUGUACGGCCACACUGGGACUGAGACACGGCCCAGACUCCUACGGGAGGCAGCAGUGGGGAAUAUUGCACAAUGGAGGAAACUCUGAUGCAGCGACGCCGCGUGAGUGAAGAAGUAUUUCGGUAUGUAAAGCUCUAUCAGCAGGGAAGAAAAUGACGGUACCUGACUAAGAAGCACCGGCUAAAUACGUG
rnacentral:rRNA from 1 species